CAGACCUCUAAUCGGAAAAGACUACCCGCUGAGUUUAAGCAUAUCACUAAGCGGAGGAGAAGAAACUAACCAGGAUUUCCCUAGUAACGGCGAGCGAACCGGAAAGAGCCCAGCUUGAAAAUCGUGGUGCCUCGUAMCUCGAAUUGUAGUCUGGAGAAGGUCCCUCUGCG
rnacentral:rRNA from 1 species